GUUGUUGUUGUUGCUGCUGCUGCUGUGGAGCUGCUAGACAGAUAGCUUAUUUCCUGUUGUAUCAUUCAGUUGUUGGUUCACUACUUGACUAAAACCAAACAAUUGAUCUGAGACUACGUGACAUUCAAUGAAUGAUAGAUAUUCUUAAAUGAGUUGUUGUGUUACGGAACUGCAAGAUCUUGCACUUCUCUCACUUAUAAAUGUAUUAAGAACUGCCAGAUCUUAAUCUUCCCAGAUGCUGAUGAGUGAGUAUGCGAGUUGUAUCUGGAGGUAAUUAUGGAAUUUAAAAAAUUUUGUUUUCUCUCUACCUGUGACUAUCAAGGAUAAAAAAUAUAACAUUUUUCAGGGAUUGGAAAUCAAAAGUCACGUUUUCACCAAAAUUGAUAUCAUGACCAAGAAAUGGAAAGGAGAGUGCAGAAUAUUGAAACCAUACCCAAAUUAUAAACUAGUUUGCUAAUAUAUAUAAUUGGCAUCUUUAUAUUUGUACAUUUUCCGUUCGACAC